GGUCUCCCCCGGGUCUUUUUGCGGUCUGGGCUUUCUGGGUCUGUCGCAGCCCGUGGCAGAAAGCCCUUACCCCAAAGAGCAUCCGGGGCUGCAC
rfam:Alligator mississippiensis ScZkoYb_172, whole genome shotgun sequence.